UGAUCUUUCGUGGAAAACUCAUAUUGAU
rnacentral:piRNA from 1 species